rnacentral:rRNA from 1 species
CCCUUAGAUGUUCGGGGCCGCACGCGCGCUACACUGAAGGAAUCAGCACGUCUUUCUCCUUGUCCGAAAGGACUGGGUAACCCGCUGAACCUCCUUCGUGCUAGGGAUUGGGGCUUGUAAUUCUUCCCCAUGAACGAGGAAUUCCCAGUAAGCGCGAGUCAUAAGCUCGCGUUGAUUACGUCCCUGCCCUUUGUACACACCGCACGUCGCUACUACCGAUUGGAUGGUUUAGUGAGAUCCUCGGAUUGGUCCCGGCGCGGCCUCUGGUCGUGCCGGAGUGCCGAAAAGAAUGUCGAACUUGAUCAUCUAGAGGAAGUAAAAGUCGUAACA